GAUGAACGCUGGCGGCGUGCCCAAUACAUGCAAGUCGAGCGAACGGACGAGAAGCUUGCUUCUCUGAUGUUAGCGGCGGACGGGUGAGUAACACGUGGAUAACCUACCUAUAAGACUGGGAUAACUUCGGGAAACCGUAGCUAAUACCGGAUAAUAUUUUGAACCGCAUGGUUCAAAAGUGAAAGACGGUCUUGCUGUCACUUAUAGAUGGAUCCGCGCUGCAUUAGCUAGUUGGUAAGGUAACGGCUUACCAAGGCAACGAUGCAUAGCCGACCUGAGAGGGUGAUCGGCCACACUGGAACUGAGACACGGUCCAGACUCCUACGGGAGGCAGCAGUAGGGAAUCUUCCGCAAUGGGCGAAAGCCUGACGGAGCAACGCCGCGUGAGUGAUGAAGGUCUUCGGAUCGUAAAACUCUGUUAUUAGGGAGGAACAUAUGUGUAAGUAACUGUGCACAUCUUGACGGUACCUAAUCAGAAAGCCACGGCUAACUACGUG
rnacentral:rRNA from 1 species